UUGUCCAUGAUAUUCCCUUAACGUGUUUUUGUAAUCGUGAAGGUCAUAUCCCAUGGGCAAG
rnacentral:pre_miRNA from 1 species